rnacentral:tRNA from 1 species
GCCCCCGUAGCUCAGUGGAUCAGAGCGACGGCCUUCUAAGCCGUGGGUCGCAGGUUCGAAUCCUGCCGGGGGCG